rnacentral:rRNA from 1 species
AGUGAACGCUGGCGGUAGGCCUAACACAUGCAAGUCGAACGGCAGCACAGUAAGAGCUUGCUCUUACGGGUGGCGAGUGGCGGACGGGUGAGGAAUACAUCGGAAUCUACUUUUUCGUGGGGGAUAACGUAGGGAAACUUACGCUAAUACCGCAUACGACCUACGGGUGAAAGCAGGGGAUCUUCGGACCUUGCGCGAUUGAAUGAGCCGAUGUCGGAUUAGCUAGUUGGCGGGGUAAAGGCCCACCAAGGCGACGAUCCGUAGCUGGUCUGAGAGGAUGAUCGGCCACACUGGAACUGAGACACGGUCCAGACUCCUACGGGAGGCAGCAGUGGGGAAUAUUGGACAAAGGGCGCAAGCCUGAUCGAGCAAUACCGCGUGGGUGAAGAAGGCCUUCGGAUUGUAAAGCCCUUUUGUUGGGAAAGAAAAGAAGCGGGUUAAUCCCCCGCUGUUUUGACGGUACCCAAAGAAAAAGCACCGGCUAACUUCGUG